UGUAGCACCAUCAACUAAUUGAUUUAUCUCCUCAGUCCCUGGUGUGGGUGUAUUUUAAAGGUGUUCCUUUGGUUUAUGAACCCAGGAAGCAAAUUACUUUCUUUUGGGGAAAGAAAUCCCUUUUGUCUCAGGGUGAGGAAUGGGCCUCCCAGGUUACAUUGUUUGGGGAAUUGUGCACUGCCAGGAUUGUGCAGGUGUCGACUGAGUGUUCGCCUUUGAGCCUUGGGCACCUCACUGCCUGCCUCACUGUCCUUUCUAGGUGGUUCCUUCCCUGACCCAAUCUGAAGAGGUAACCCUGGGCAUUGAAAAGGACCCACAGAUUGUAGCAAAAGUUACAGGAAGGACCAAGAGAUCAUGGGGGAAUGAAUGGGCUUGAGAAGGCAGAGGUUGUUUUUUGUUUUUGUUUGUUUGUUUUUGUUUUAAUGAAUAGACCAAAUUAUUACCUGUAGUGCUUUUCUGUUUCCCAGAGAGUGGCAUGCCAUGACUAUCAGCUGCCAAAUACAGCUGAGUCAUUCUUUCCAACUUGCCAAAGCCAGGACACUUUGGUUGAAUUCACUGUGGGGGAGGGGAGGAAGAGCUGAGGUUCUUCAGAAAGGAAUCAGAGUUACACCAACCGAUGUGUGUUCACGCUCCGCUGCUCUGUUUCAGUUACAAAGAAAGAGAGUGUGUGCCUGCUUUUUUCCAAAUGCCGUGUGGGCAGCUCUGGGGCCUCGAACAGCUCCUGGCUGCUCAGCACCCGUCUCACCCAGAGACAGGCUCGGUUGGCGCUGGUGACUCAGACUCGGGCACGAUGGAAGACAGACUCUAGGGAGCACCGGGAACUGAUUGGUUGGCUAGUGUGAGCUUGGGGUGUCUGUGAAGGCCCCAGUGCUGUGCAGAAGUUCACUUUCACACGCUAGAACAAAUGGGUCCUUUGUGAAUAAUAACUGACCUUUGUUCCCUUCUGCCUGGCCUCUCCCCCCCCCUCCUUCCUUGCUGGUCUCAGCCAGGAUCCCUGAUGCUCUAGAAGGACCGGACCAGGAGUGGACAUCUCUACCCAUGGCAGAGCUGGGAUGGGGGAGGUUGGAGACGGGCCAUGGCCUUUGGGAAUGAUGUUCUGCACUGUGUCAGAACAUGGUGCCGGGGACAAUCGGAGUCAAUCGGAGAAGAACAGGAGGACACUGAGCCCUGAUUGCCACCCAGGAUCUAUCAGACCCUUCGAGUCCUAAGUUACACAUCCCCAAACCAGAACCAGUUGCUAUUAAAAAUGUAACUGGAGAUCUGACUCUUUUCAGAUCUGAUGCCCUCGCCGGAGGGGCUGGUACAGAAGACCUGCCUGCUCGCUCAGCUCAGGCUAGCAUCCUGACAAAAUAGAGUCCUUUCUUCCGGUUUCUGCUGAGAGCAGCAGCAGCAGCAACGAUCCCUAAAACCCAACAGCGUCAUCCCUACCUCAUUUGCUGGGAUCUAUUAAUCUCUUACAAUAGCCAGCAGCUAACCCAUCUGGCAGACAUCUGGUCUUGAUUUAAUUAACUCGAGAAGCGAAAGAACAUCGGGAAAAGAGAUCUCUUCCUAUACCACAGACCUGGAGGUGAGUGACUCCUUGCCUGGCAGGCCUUGCCGCCCACACCUCUGACAGCAUCCUCCAGCCUGUUCCUCCUGCCACAAGACUUCCUCUAAACACAGAGCCCCAUGAAAGGAUGAGGAAGCAGCCUGGACCCCAAGCUCAUGAGAUGAUGCCUCCUACAUUCAAAGUGGACCCCUCCCCUCCCCCCAGUUCAUCCCUUUUGGAAAAGCCCUCACAGUUCCAUUAGAAGGUGUACCUCACUAAUCCUCAGGCACCUGGGCAGCAGCCUCGGAGAGUGGUGUCCCCAAGGAGAGUGAUCUCAGAGAGGCUCCCCUGGCAUUCUCCUUAGGCUGAGAACAUCCCCCACCCCCACCCCACCCCCCACAGGAAGAAAUUCAAAAGGGCAAAGGAAACCAGGCUGUCACCCAAGUCAGCACAGUGACAAACGCUGGAAGAGCCCUCUGUUCCCCUCACCUUUUCACCUUACUUCGUAAACAUGCUUCUUUUUUUUUUUUGGUUUUUUCAAGACAGGGUUUCUCUGUGUAGCUUUGCGCCUUUCCUGGUACUCGCUUUGGAGACCAGGCUGGCCUCGAACUCACAGAGAUCCACCUGGCUCUGCCUCCCGAGUGCUGGGAUUAAAGGCGUGUGCCACCACCGCCCGGCCGUAAACAUGCUUCUUAUGAACACCUAAACGCCACCAGAGGAAACCCCACAGCUGAUGACAUUUCUACCUUUCUGGUCAGUCUCUUCUGAGGCUUGUCAAGUUUUCCUGUCAUAAUAUGAAUAAGUAUUUUUUAGCUUCUUUUUUUAAUCCAUCUUUCUAAAACAUUAUUUCAUGUUCAUGUUUCCUUGUGUCGACAGUCUUCACGUUUGUCUGUUUAAAUUAGGAUUCUGUAGCUCUACUGCAAAUGUGACACAAUUUGUUUCCUGUUGGAUACUUGUAUGAUUUCUAAGUAGCAGAACUAGUAACCAAUAUGGCUAUUUUGUAUCAGUAGCUCUCUUGUCCCUUUGGGCUUAUAUAUUCAGGACUGUGUGCCCCUAAAUAGAGAGAUUUGGUCACACCUAGGUCUCUGCUCUUUCUACUGCAAGGUUGCUCUGCAGAGAGAUGCAGUCAGUCCACAGGGCUUCCAGCCCAUUUAGAUGUGCCCUUAUCCCAGCACAGAGUGGAGCUAUCGUUGACUUUUGUCAUUUAUAGUCACUUUAGCCUGUCAAAUUGGGGAGGGUAAAAUAGUCAGGAAUACAGAAAAUAUAUCAAAGGAGCCGAUCUGCAAGAUGCAACCAAGAAACAGGACCGGACGCCUCCUAAGACAAAAGCUCCAAGGGAAACUGGCCGAAUGAGGCUUGUUCUCACAAUGGUCACCUGUCUAGGGCACGUUGUGGGCUGUCCUGGGUUGAAAAUUCAGGGUCAUCCAGGGUGGAGUCAUAUUCAGCAAAUGAGUAGCAGAGCCCAUAUUAUUUUAAGAUGUGUUAUAUUUGUUUAUGCUGUGAAACAUUUGUUUAAUGAUGCAAAGAUGUGUUGCAUUCCUUUAUGUGGAGGUUAACUCUGCGAAGCUGUGUUCCUUUGCCUGUCUAAAACACCUGAUGAUCUAAUAAAGAACUGAACAGCCAAUCAGUAGUGAGGCAGGAGAAAGGUGGGGUUGGAAGGCAGAGAGAAUAGAUAGAAGGAGAAAUCUGGGCAGAGAAGAAGAAGAAAAGGAAAAAAGAACAAGAGAACAAGGACAGGAAGAUGCUAGGGGCCAGCCACCCAGUCACACAGCCAGCCACAGAGUAAGGGUGAAUGUAAAAUGUACAGAUUUAAGAAAAGGAAAAAGCCCAGAGGCAAAAGGUAGAUGAGAUAAUUUAAGAAAAGCUGGCAAGAAACAAGCCAAGCAAUGGCCAGGCAUUUAUAAGUAAGAAUAAGC